AAUAAGAAUACCAUAUCACAAUCGUAUAACAAACUCAACAUGGAGAUAAUUGAGGUAGCUAGUUACAACAUAAGCUAGCUAACAGAUAUUGCCAUACACAGAACUAGUUGAGACACACACAAUAAGACCCUUCAUUGAUGAGGCCAUCACUAUAACUUCUAAGGUAUAAUCAUUGAGCGUCUAUUAUCAUGGUUAUGAUGAAUUAGUCCCCAAU
rnacentral:lncRNA from 1 species